rnacentral:rRNA from 1 species
CCUACGGGAGGCUGCAGUGAGGAAUAUUGGUCAAUGGUCGGGAGCCUGAACCAGCCAAGUCGCGUGCGGGACGACGGUCCUAUGGAUUGUAAACUUCUUUUGUCCGGGAAUAAAAGCGCCCACGGGUGGUCGGAUGAGUGUACCCGAUGAAUAAGCAUCGGCUAACUCCGUGCCAGCAGCCGCGGUAAUACGGAGGAUGCGAGCGUUAUCCGGAUUUAUUGGGUUUAAAGGGUGCGUAGGCGGACAGUUAAGUCAGCGGUAAAAUUGCGGUGCUCAACGCCGUACAGGCGUUGAAACUGGCAGUCUUGAGUGGGCGUGAGGUAUGCGGAAUGCGUGGUGUAGCGGUGAAAUGCAUAGAUAUCACGCAGAACUCCGAUUGCGAAGGAAGCAUACCGGCGCCCGACUGACGCUGAGGCACGAAAGCGUGGGUAUCGAACAGGAGUAGAUACCCGGGUAGUC